CUUAGAUUUACGGUAUUAUUUGAGUAAAACUACAUCUUUUGGGUUGUGCACAUUGGAAUUCACAGUAUAAAUCUGUAGAAUAUGUAGAUUUUUAAGCAAACAAAACAUUCAUUUUUACAGAAGCAAGAUGUUAAAAAAAUAGGGUCCCCCGUAAUAAUACAACCAGUAAAUACAAUUUAAAAAAAGCAAAUAUCAGCAGUAAAAGACAAUAAAAUUGAUAGUAUUUUUUAUUUUAAAAUUCAGAUACUGAUAUACAGAUUAAAAGUUAGGCCUGCAGUAUAUCAUUGUUAACCUUCUGAUAAAAAAAUCAACAGCAAAAGAAGAUGUUUAAAAUAAAGUUCAUGGUUGUGAAUAAAAUUGAUUUCAAUAAUCUUUUUUAAUUAUUAUUUUAAAACAACUUUAUGUUAUGUUUCACGCCAUAUUAUCAGACCACCUUAAGUGGGUCCGCCUUAAAUUUUGAGUUUGUGUGAUCGCUGUUGAUUGGUUGCUGGUAAACUGUGUACAGACGUUUUACGUUCGAAUUGCAGAGAAAAAAUGUUUUCUGGUAGCAACAUUGUGCAGUAUGAGCGAACCAUUUCACAAAAAAGGGGAAGCGCAAGGCAAGACGUGACUUCUGAUCAAACCUCCUCCUAAAGAAAGAAAGAGCGACAUCACAUUGCGGGAUGACGUCACCUGAAAAUGACGCUGCUGAGCUGUGUGACGCGCGCUUUUUUUUCUUGCAGGAGACUUGUUGGCUUCGCUAACGGACGUAGUUUUGAACUCGUAUUAGCGCCAUUUAUAGCUGCUUGGACCAGCAUCUUCGGAAUUUGUAGACAUCCUGGCAACUUACAAUUAAUUCGAGGUUUAAGGGUGGUGACACAGCUAAGACCUGAGAGUCUCUUUCAAGACACUGAAUUUGAGCAGAAACCAUAAGGAUACUCAAAGGACCUGUGACUCUCAGGAAAUGCAUCAAAUGAGAGUGACA
rnacentral:lncRNA from 1 species